CGGUGGGUUGCAGCGAAGAGCAUCAACAUCUGGUCCUUCUGGUCCCUCUGGAUUACCAACAGGAGCCGCAUCGGCACAACCUAAACCCAAAGGAAUGGCAUCUGAAGAUGCUUUGGCUCAGGCACUAGGUAAAAUUAACGAAUCUUUGGAAAAAAUAAGUAAACAAGUAGCUGAAGCAUCGGGCAAAAUUGAUCAAAAUACCACAAGUAUUAAUAAUUUGGGACAGAAGGUAAAUACCAACACAGAAACCAUUCAGAAAUUACUACAGGAAUCUACCUCGACACGAAAGACAGCUGAAGAGGCAAAGGAAAUAGCAACUGCUGUAGAAGAGAAGAUACCACCGAUACACAAACAACUUGAAGACCACAGGUCAAUAUUGUCUAUGAUUGAGUUGAAGGAGAAACAAACGAAUUUGAGGAUCAGGGCCGUACCUGAACUUGAGAAAGACAAUCUGACUGAUUUUCUUAUGCAGGAAUUUGCAGACUUUUGGGACCUAGAUUUGGAGAAGGAAGGUUUCAAGAUAGUGAGUGCUUUUAGGCUUGGAAGAGGAGGGAGGAAGAACAGGGUGAGAGACUGUUUGAUCACCCUCCAAACAAAAGAGGAGAGAGACAAAAUCUUGACUCUGCAUAUCCAGAAGACUUUGGAAAUUCAUCAGUCAAAAGUAGAGAUAUUUAAGGACAUUCCGAAAUAUCUUCUGGACCUUAGGUCCAACUAUAGAGAUUUGGUCGCCCUGUUGAGAAGCAACGGAAUCAUUUUUAGGUGGGAAUUCCCCAAGGCCUAUCCUUUAGUUACAAAGGGAAGAAGAUAAAAAUAAGAUCAGAGGACGACAAAGAUAGAUUUUGGAGAGACCACGGAGAAGACCUGCAGAAGGAAGCUGCAGAAGAGUUAAGAGCACUAGUAAGUGAAACUUUAGACAUACCAAGAUUACCUCCUGAACUAAAAGACCGCCUGGAGAAGGUGAUACCACCAACAGAUCAGGAACAGGCACUGGGUGCAGUUGGAGGAGAAGCAAAGUAACUACAUCAUGGCUCUGCAACUAUUAAGCUGGAAUUGUAAUGGUCUGAACUCCCUCAGAAAAGGAAAUCUGUGUUUCAUUUAUUAAAAAGGAACAAUUGGACUUGAUUUGUCUACAGGAAACACAUGUAACAAGGCUACACAGGAAAGUAGUGAUUAAUAAAAGACUGGGUCAGGAGUUUAUUUCUUUGGACAAGGUUAAAAAAAGAGGGGUAGUGAUCUAUACAAAGGAGAGACUACUACCGAAAUUUAUCUUCAAAGAUGACCAAGGAAGAUUUGUGGCAAUUGAAAUUCAAACACAAGGAGAGAAAUUUUUAAUAGUAGGAGUUUAUGCACCAAAUGAGGGGAAAUCUGAAUUUUUUAAAAAAGUUGCAUGAGACCUUGAUGGACUAUUUGGAUUAUAAUGUGAUUUUGAUGGGAGACAUGAAUGGUGUGGUAUCUACACACAUGGAUAAGGCACAAAGACAGGUAGUCACUAAGGACGGCAGAUUACCGAAAACUUUUUUUGAGAUGACAGACAACUUGGACUUAGUUGAUACUUGGAGAACAAAGAAUCCCUUGGCCAGAGAGGGAACCUUCUUCUCUGAAGCCAAACUGACAUGGACAAGAAUUGACCAAAUAUGGGUAACUAGAGGAAUGGCACCAAAGAUAAGAAAAGUAGAAAUCUGCCCAAAAACCUGCUCCGACCAUAAUGCUGUGAAGAUGGAGAUGAAAUUAACACCAACUGGCUCCUUCAGAUGGAGGAUGAAUGACACCUUAUUCAUAGAUGAAGAAAUGUAUAAAAAGGCCCAAAAAACCUUGAGAGACUAUUUUGAGAUAAAUAUGAACACCAAUGUGGAAAAAAGAGUAAUCUGGGACGCUAGCAAAGCUGUUAUGAGAGGGUUCUUGAUACAACAGAAUGCAUUAAAGAAGAGAACUCAAAAUGAGAAGAAGGAUAAAAUUUUGGAGAAAAUAAAAGAAAGUGAAAAGAAAUUGAGAGCAAAACCUAAGUCGCAAGAGAUUUUGAGAGAAAUAAAAUUACAUCAAGUACAAUAUAUGAAAAUGAUGAAUCAGGAG